rnacentral:rRNA from 1 species
GACGGAGGAUGCAAGCGUUAUCCGGAAUGAUUGGGCGUAAAGCGUCCGCAGGUGGCAGUUCAAGUCUGCUGUCAAAGACCGGGGCUUAACUUCGGAAAGGCAGUGGAAACUGAACAGCUAGAGUAUGGUAGGGGCAGAGGGAAUUCCUGGUGUAGCGGUGAAAUGCGUAGAGAUCAGGAAGAACAUCGGUGGCGAAGGCGCUCUGCUGGACCAUAACUGACACUCAGGGACGAA